ACUUGCAGCUUCUCAAAAGAGAGAAAAGGAGCACAAAGUAUGAUAAAACAAAACAUGAUCAGGAUUUCAGAUGAAUUAAGAAAGAUAAAUAAAUUCAGAAGACUCAUUCAAACUGUUAUAAAGAAGAUUGCAGCAAGAUGGGCUUUGGUGAAUGGGCAAGAUUCCAACAUGUAAAGAAAGAGAAAUGUGACUAUAGCAGUUCUAUCAAGAGGAGUGGAGAAACAUACAACAAAAAGCUGAGCUAAUUUUUGAUGGAACAAUAUUGAGGACAAUAGGUCACUGAGAGCAAAUGAAGUGGGGCCACCACUGUGUUUCCUCAAGUGUUCUCCCAUAGCCUUGCAUUGGAUGGCUGAUGAGGAGAAGUUUAAAUUCAGUCUAUCAGACUUCCCUGGUGGCACAGUGGUUAAGAAUCCGCCUGCCAAUGCAGAGGACACAGGUUCAAGCCCUGGUCCGGGAAGAUUCCACAUGCCAUGGAGCAACUAAGCCCGUGUGCCACAACUACUGAGCCAUGCACCACAACUACUGAAGCCCGCAUGCUCCAGGACCAGCAUGCUGCAACUACUAAGCCUGCGCACUGCAACUACUGAAGCCCGUGUGCCUAGAACCCGUGCUCCACAACAAGAUAAGCCACCACAAUGAGAAGACCGCGCACUACAACGAAGAGUAGCCCCUGCUUGCUGCAACUAGAGAAAAAGCCCGCGUGCAGCAAUGAAGACCCAACACAGCCAAAAAUAAAUAAAUAAAUGUAUUUUAAAAAUAAAAAAUAA